rnacentral:rRNA from 1 species
UACGUAGGGGGCAAGCGUUGUCCGGAUUUAUUGGGCGUAAAGCGCGUGUAGGCGGCCGUGCAAGUCGGAUGUGAAAUCCCUCGGCUCAACCAAGGAAGUGCAUCCGAAACUGCAGAGCUUGAGUACUUAAGAGGAUCGCGGAAUUCCCGGUGUAGAGGUGAAAUUCGUAGAUAUCGGGAGGAACACCAGUGGCGAAGGCGGCGAUCUGGGAAGAUACUGACGCUGAGGUGCGAAAGCGUGGGGAGCAAACAGG